rnacentral:rRNA from 1 species
GCGGCGUGCCUAAUACAUGCAAGUCGAACGCUUCUUUUCCCACCGGAGCUUGCUCCACCGGGAAAAGAGGAGUGGCGAACGGGUGAGUAACACGUGGGUAACCUGCCCAUCAGAAGGGGAUAACACUUGGAAACAGGUGCUAAUACCGUAUAACAAUCGAAACCGCAUGGUUUCGUUUUGAAAGGCGCUUUACGGUGCCGCUGAUGGAUGGACCCGCGGUGCAUUAGCUAGUUGGUGAGGUAACGGCUCACCAAGGCCACGAUGCAUAGCCGACCUGAGAGGGUGAUCGGCCACAUUGGGACUGAGACACGGCCCAAACUCAUACGGGAGGCAGCAGUAGGGAAUCUUCGGCAAUGGACGAAAGUCUGACCGAGCAACGCCGCGUGAGUGAAGAAGGUUUUCGGAUCGUAAAACUCUGUUGUUAGAGAAGAACAAGGGUGAGAGUAACUGUUCACCCCUUGACGGUAUCUAACCAGAAAGCCACGGCUAACUACGUGCCAGCAGCCGCGGUAAUACGUAGGUGGCAAGCGUUGUCCGGAUUUAUUGGGCGUAAAGCGAGCGCAGGCGGUUUCUUAAGUCUGAUGUGAAAGCCCCCGGCUCAACCGGGGAGGGUCAUUGGAAACUGGGAGACUUGAGUGCAGAAGAGGAGAGUGGAAUUCCAUGUGUAGCGGUGAAAUGCGUAGAUAUAUGGAGGAACACCAGUGGCGAAGGCGGCUCUCUGGUCUGUAACUGACGCUGAGGCUCGAAAGCGUGGGGAGCAAACAGGAUUAGAUACCCUGGUAGUCCACGCCGUAAACGAUGAGUGCUAAGUGUUGGAGGGUUUCCGCCCUUCAGUGCUGCAGCUAACGCAUUAAGCACUCCGCCUGGGGAGUACGACCGCAAGGUUGAAACUCAAAGGAAUUGACGGGGGCCCGCACAAGCGGUGGAGCAUGUGGUUUAAUUCGAAGCAACGCGAAGAACCUUACCAGGUCUUGACAUCCUUUGACCACUCUAGAGAUAGAGCUUCCCCUUCGGGGGCAAAGUGACAGGUGGUGCAUGGUUGUCGUCAGCUCGUGUCGUGAGAUGUUGGGUUAAGUCCCGCAACGAGCGCAACCCUUAUUGUUAGUUGCCAUCAUUUAGUUGGGCACUCUAGCAAGACUGCCGGUGACAAACCGGAGGAAGGUGGGGAUGACGUCAAAUCAUCAUGCCCCUUAUGACCUGGGCUACACACGUGCUACAAUGGGAAGUACAACGAGUCGCGAAGUCGCGAGGCUAAGCUAAUCUCUUAAAGCUUCUCUCAGUUCGGAUUGUAGGCUGCAACUCGCCUACAUGAAGCCGGAAUCGCUAGUAAUCGCGGAUCAGCACGCCGCGGUGAAUACGUUCCCGGGCCUUGUACACACCGCCCGUCACACCACGAGAGUUUGUAACACCCGAAGUCGGUGAGGUAACCUUUUUGGAGCCAGCCGCCUAAGGUGGGAUAGAUGAUUGGGGUGA